rnacentral:rRNA from 1 species
GACGAACGCUGGCGGCGUGCUUAACACAUGCAAGUCGAACGAGGUCCAACCGGUGGCAACACCGGGGAAGACCGAGUGGCGAACGGGUGAGUAACACGUGAGCAACCUGCCCCGGAGACCGGGAUAACACCGGGAAACCGGUGCUAAUACCGGAUGUCCCCAUCGGACUGCAUGAUCUGAUGUGGAAGUGGAUUCCGCUCCGGGAGGGGCUCGCGGCCUAUCAGCUUGUUGGCGGGGUAACGGCCCACCAAGGCGUCGACGGGUAGCUGGUCUGAGAGGACGAUCAGCCACACUGGGACUGAGACACGGCCCAGACUCCUACGGGAGGCAGCAGUGGGGAAUCUUGCGCAAUGGGGGAAACCCUGACGCAGCAACGCCGCGUGCGGGAUGAAGGCUCUCGGGUUGUAAACCGCUUUCAGCAGGGACGAAUUCAGACGGUACCUGCAGAAGAAGCCCCGGCCAACUACGUACCAGCAGCCGCGGUAAUACGUAGGGGGCGAGCGUGUCGAUC